rnacentral:tRNA from 1 species
GAGGGGAUAGCUCAGUGGUAGAGUGCAUGCUUAGCAUGCAUGAGGUCCUGGGUUCAAUCCCCAGUACCUCCA